CGUCAGCUCGUGUCGUGAGAUGUUGGGUUAAGUCCCGCAACGAGCGCAACCCUUGUUUCUAGUUGCUACGCAAGAGCACUCUAGAGAGACUGCCGUUGACAAAACGGAGGAAGGUGGGGACGACGUCAAAUCAUCAUGCCCCUUAUGACCUGGGCCACACACGUACUACAAUGGCUGUAAACAGAGGGAAGCAAAGCCGCGAGGUGGAGCAAAACCCUAAAAGCAGUCCCAGUUCGGAUCGCAGGCUGCAACCCGCCUGCGUGAAGUCGGAAUUGCUAGUAAUCGCGGAUCAGCAUGCCGCGGUGAAUACGUUCCCGGGCCUUGUACACACCGCCCGUCACACCAUGGGAGCCGGUAAUACCCGAAGCCAGUAGUUCAACCGCAAGGAGAGCGCUGUCGAAGGUAGGAUUGGCGACUGGGGUGAAGUCGUAACAAGGUAGCCGUAUCGGAAGGUGCGGC
rnacentral:rRNA from 1 species